rfam:Danio rerio chromosome 4, GRCz11 reference primary assembly.
CUUGUCCUCAUUUGUAUGUCACUUUGGAUAAAAGUGUCUGCUAAAUGACUAAAU